rnacentral:siRNA from 1 species
AAGUGUCAAAUUCGCCGAAACCCA